rnacentral:lncRNA from 1 species
UCUGUCUUCCAUUUCUCACUUACCCCUUCACUUCUCUAUUCAUUUUCAUUUCUUCACCAUUAUUCCUUCCUAAUUAUAAAUCCACCUCACCUAAAAAACAGGCUCAUCAGAAAUGGAGAACCGGCCAGCGAACCGGAGUAUGAAGAACCGGAUCAGAAGAUUACCGGGCUCAUCAGAAACGGAGAACCGUCCAGAGAACCGGAAUAUGACGAAUCGGGUCAGAAGAUUUCCGCCAAAAAGAGGUCAAAUUAAAGUGAUGAUUUUCAAGAAAUUGCUAAAAUCAUUGGAUACCAUGAUCGGCUGUUGCUUCCGUCCUACACGAAUUACGCCACUUUGAAGUUUCUAAGUAGCGUUUACAGUCAAAUAUUUAUCGUAACUACGCUUUCUGUCUCAAUUUAUGUGGCAUAUUUUAAACUUUGAGAUUCAAAUAAAUUUAUUUUUAACCUAGUUUUUUUCAUAUAUUUUUGUAAAUAUUUUAAAUUAUCUAUUAUUGUGACUCAUAAUAUAUAUUUUAUGUAGUAGUUUCCAAAUGCAUAAAUCUCAUUUCAAAAAACUUGAAGAUUUCAUGUCCGAAUCUAUGUUAAAUUUAAAUUAUUUGACUCUCAAAACUCAAAAAGUAUUACGUAAAUUGAUACCGGGAAUACUAUUUUGUUGAUUUUUGGAUACAUGUAUUCUACCAAACAGAGCUAUAGAAAUAUUUUUUAAUCUUUAUCUAUUUAGUUUCAUUUUUUUUGUUUCUUUUUACUGGGUGGGAGUGAGAAUGCUAUGUUACUCGGAUUCUUAAAAAUGUCGUGCGGCUCUAUGUUUGGAGAGUCCGAGCAAUUUAGGAAAGGAGUUUAAGGGGAUUGAGCAGCUUCUGAAUUUUAUUUUUAUUUUUGAUAUUUUAAUUUAUUUUUUAUCUUUUAUUGAAUUGGUCAGUCUAGUAGAUAUGUCAGUGUAUUGUACUUUAUAAAUUCAAUAUUGGUCAGUCUAGUAGACAUGUCAGUGUAUUGUACUUUAUGAAUUCUCUGUAUUGAUGAUAAAUGAAAUAUUCAUUUCUG